rnacentral:lncRNA from 1 species
UUUUUUUUUUUAAAUGUAAAACGUCUUUAUUGUUUGAAGCAUAAAAAAAGUAAAAAUUGGUAUGGUAUUUCAUUUCUUAGUCUUCUUAGUGAGGUUAUAAAAAUACAAUGCCACUUAGUCUUAUAUACUCUUGAAACUCUAGAAGUUCACACUUUAUAUAAAAAGGCACUUAAAACAUACAAUGAGAUGAUAAAAAACAAAACCACCUCAUAAAUACAAUUGAAAUGGCUUUGGGAAAAACUCUACAUGUAGACGCCUACAUAAACAGGAUUUCACUUUUUCUUUUCCCAAACGGAGACAGUAUUUCCCCAUGUGAUGCCUAAAGGCAUCAGAAACGCGGACUGCCUUCUCCUACCUUCUGUGCUCUUCAUAGAGGUUAAAAUGCAAGCUAAAUUCAUUUUUCUCCAAUUUCCUCUCUAUUUUGUUUAAGAUAAAAUUCUUAAUUUGUAUCCAAGAUCUUUUUCGAAUGUCUGGCUCAUUUUCAUUUUGUUUCAAAUCACAAUUGACUUAAAAAGAAAAAAUCAGAAGACAGUGAUGCAAGUGCUUUUUUAAAGGACUUCUAGGCAGCUCCCAAAAAUCACUCGAGACAUUUUUGAAUCAUGUGAACACACACAUGUGUAUGUAUUUUUAAAUACUGCUCUUGCAUUGUCCUGGGUUUUGAGACUUCUAAAAUCACACUAACUUAAUUUUUGUAACCUGGGAUCACAGGUUUGGGUACAUGCCAAAUCAUUCAGUGCGUAUUCAUCUACGAAAGAAGAUACGUGCACUUCACGUUGCUAAUGCUUCAUUUCUUUCAGGCUGGCCCAAGAAUAAACAAUGUAUACCAUGAAAUCCAAGCCCACUGUCACAUGUCCUUACGCACGGUGGCUAAUGAAAGGAAGUGUAUUCUUGCUGUGGUACAUCUGUGGUUUGGGAGCCUCAUGAGAUGGUCUUGCAAAGGCAUAAUAGAAAUGCCAUGAUAAUUAGCACAUGGUUGUGUUGCAUGAAGCAUCGUGGACUACCUUCCUGAGUAUAGGUACAUGGGUUCAUGUCUCGUGCCUCUGCUCCUUCUUGGCUGUUCAACUCUGCGGUUGGAUGGCACUGAAAAGCCUCUGCUGAUUUUCAAGGCAGUCUUUGAGCUUAUCCUCUGUCAAAGUCAGUCGCUGCUCCAAGAUGGACACGGUCUGUAAAAAGGGGGACAGAAUCAUCAAUGCCUGGUGACCUGGACGAGGAGCAUAAUCUCUGCAGGCAAGAGCCUUUUCAGAACGGGAACGCCCACUCUUGGGCCAGGAGGCUGGCUCAGAAAUGAG